GCCCCUAAAUACACACACACCAGUUGGUGGUUGUGCAGCCUGGAGCCUCCAGUCCGCGAGUGUGAGGAACGGACUAGAUGGGUCCAGCAGUGCUGGGUCAAGGCCAGGAGGGGGCAGCCGGAAGCGCGCACAUGCUCUGGACUCGUGCACCCGCCGAAGCGGGUGAGCACAGGGCGCGCGGGGGUGAGAGGUGAGGGGUGAGGGGUGAGGGGCGAGAGGGACGGGAGCGGGGUAGGGGCAGCCCUUUCCCAGGCGGUAGCGGGGGCUGUGGUGCUGUUGCCCUUUUAAGCUGCGGCUUGACAGGAGCAGCACCUCCUGUCGGUGGAGUCUGUUACAAGGGGAGCAGCCGCCCAGGCCGCCACACAGCUCCCCGCAGAGGCCUCGGUGCCCCUUGCCAUUUUCCAGCCCUACUCCGACUAGAGUCCAGGCAGCGGGGAGAGGCGGAGCCGCGAGAGCGCCGCCGAGAGGUCCGGCGGGUGGUUGCGGCCGUGACAGCGGCUCCCGACCGGCUCACCUUCCGCGCCCCUCCCGCCAGAGGUGAGAGUAAAAUGUCCGUGUCAGGGUUCAAGGCCAAGCUGAAGUUGUUGGCCUCUAUUUUCCACAAGAACCAGGAGCCGCCGCGGCAGCUCAGGCUCCACUGCAACAUCACGGUGAGGCGCCCAGCGGCGGCUUCACAUGGCAGGGCGAGGGCGGAGAGGAAGAGCCCGGAGUCCCGGGACAAAGGGGAACCUGCCCAGGAGAGGCUCCCCGGGCCGGGUGAGCGCGCCCCUUUCUCCCGCGACUGGCCUGGCCCCGAUCGCCGGGACUGCGGGAGGCUUGCGUGGGAGGAGGGGGAGGGCGCGUCUCUCUGGCUCCUUGCUGCGGGGCUGGCUUGGGGGCUGCCGGCACCUCUCGCCCCAGUCACCGCGCCCCGAGGUGGGAGCCCGCGUCGCCCACAGCCCUUUCGGGGCCCAUGGUCGCCCUCAGUCAGCCAGCCUGCUCCCCGGGACCGCGACGGGGCGUGGCAGGGCGGCUCCGGCUGUUGUUUGAGCCCGGGCGGGGAAGGGGAAAGGCCUUCAAGAUUUUCGGGUUUUUGGCCGGGCGCAGUGCUCGUUCCUGUAAUCCCAGUACUUUGGGAGGCUGAGGCAGCUGGAUCGCCUGAGGUCAGGAGUUCUAGACUAGCCCGGCCAACGUGGUAAAACCCUGUCUCUACUAAAAAUACAAAAAUUAGCCGGGCAUGGUGGCAGGCACUUGUUGAGAUGGAGUCUCACUCUGUCGCCCAGGCUGGAGUGCAGUGGGGUGAUCUCGGCUUUCUGCAGCCUCCGUCUCUUGACAGUCCAUGGGUUCAAGCGAUUCUCCUGCCUCAGCCUCCCGAGUAGCUGGGAUUACAGGCUCCAGACACCACGCCUGGCUAACUUUUGUGUUGUUUAGUAGAGACAGGGUUUCACCAUGUUGGCCAGGCUGGUCUCGAACUCCUGACCUCAAAUGACCCAUCUCUGCCUCCCAGAGUUUUGGGAUUACAGGCCUGAGCCACCGCGCCCGGAUCCAAGGCUUUAAGCUUAAAUGCCUCGUUCUUCAGUCAGGUUUUCCUUGUUCCCGCAUGUUCAGCCAAUCGUGUUUAAGGAGAAACUAACAAUGAAAACGGACUCGUUGAUGGAGGAAAAGUUGGAAUGCAGCCUCUGGUGCUGUUUGAGCGAUCUCUCUAUCCCGGGUCGCUGCUGUGUUCUGGAAAGGCGCAUUGUACCCUGGAUGCAGCAGCUUCAUCAGCAAUGGAAGUGGUUGAUAUGUGGACUCUGCAGAUUAUAUAACCUUCCUAAGCACCCGAAUGUUGAGAUGCCAGAUCAACCACUACCCACGGGUCAGAAUGGGACAACAGAAGAAGUGACUUCAAAAGAAGAGGAAGAAGAAGAGAUGGAUGAAGAUAUAGAAGACUUAGAUCACUAUGAGAUGAAAGAAGAGCCUACUAGUGAGAAGAAGUUGGAGGAUGAAGGAACUGAAAAAGAAAAUUGGGCAAUAUUAGAGAAAAUUAGGAAGACUGAAAGGCAAGGCCAUUUAAAUGUGUUGACCCUGAUAGUCCUUUGCACAGUGAUCUUCAGAUCUUAAAAGAAAAAGAAGAGAUAGGAGACAUUUUGCUUAUGUUUUAAGUGUUCCUGACAGCAUCUCAGAGGAUGGUGUCCUCUGGCUUACUCUCUGGGAAAUGCUGCUCUGUUGGAAAUCCGGAGUUCUGAGUGAUCCCCAUGUGUUUUCUGCUGCAGAGCAGGACAUGCUGAAGUGAUUCCUUCGUGAGCAGAUGUCAGAGGUCUCCCUCUGACAGCUUGUUACAAAGUUGAUCACGAAUAUACUAUUAUGUGUGUUAUGGUCCUCAUUAUUUGGAUGAAUAAUUUGAAUGAUAAGUCAGCUUGUGACUUAGCCAAAUAAAUCUUCUGAUUCCUAGUAAAGUGUUUUUCAUUAUAUGAAAUGCCAGCUAUGUAAGAGGAGAUUAAAAGUACUAAGAACUGUAAGUACUGCAUUGAUUAUCAUAUGCUAACCAUGGGCCAGGCACGGUGGCACACACCUAUAAUCCCAGCACUUUGGGAGGCUGAGGCGGGUGGAUCACUUGAGGUCAGGAGUUCAAGACCAUCCUGGCCAAGAUGGUGAAACCCCCAUCUCUACCACAAAUACAAAAAAUUUGCCAGAUGUGGUGGUGCAUACUGGUAAUCCCAGCUACUCAGGAGGCUGAGUCAGGAGAAUCGCUUGAACUCGGGAGGCAGAGGUUGCAGUGAGCUGAGAUCGUGCCACUGCGCUCCAGCCUGGGUGACAAAGAUAAACUCCAUCUGAACAAAAAAGAAAAAGAAAAGCUAAGCAUGGACUUAAUUUCUCUGAGAUUUAAAGCUGCAAAGAGUUGCUCUUCAUGAAGUAGAUGGGAUCUCAUCUGGGCAGUGAAAUGUGAGUGGGGUUUGGUCAGCUGGUGGAGGUUGCAGGAAAAUUAUUUACAGAGGUGAAGAGUAAGCGCAAUCAGGUAUCUAGGAAAGAGAAUGAGGGGUUCAGAGUAUACGAAACCAAUUUGAGCUAUAACACAAGGAGGGUAGGAUUCAUGUAGAAGAGUUGUAGGAAAUAUUGCUGAUGUAAUAUUUUGUACUCAAACAGUUCUGUGGAUUGGUGACAGAUUUGUUUUUUCAGGUAAGUAAACUAUUACCCCUGGAUAUUCAUCUUUCUAUGUAGCUGGUUGAGAAACAGGGGAGUAACAGUAAAGAAACUGUUUUAGAAUAAAUCUGGUGACAGCAGAAGAGAAUAUGAGACACAUUGUGCUCACAGAGCCUAGAAGAGUGUGACAGUAGUUGAGGGCACCGCUGCUGUCUUAGAGUGAAGUGAGGAGAACCUACAUUGGUGUGGUAGUCAUGGGAGUGGAAGGAGGAAUGAAAUGUGAAAGCCCAUUGGAGGCAGAAUCAAAAUGGCUUGGUCUUAAUAGUCAACUAUUAAGUAAGGAGGAAUUAUUGGCUGACUUAGGAAGAAGUGAAAAAUGUGAAAUACCAAUAAAACACCAGGCUUGCAAUUUUAGUCAGGGUAAAGCUUAAGCAUUGUGUGAUUCUAGAUAGAUUACUGAGGAGUUUUGUUCCAUUUAUUUUAUAUCCCAUAUCUUUGAGCUAUGAUCCUAUUCUUUAUUUCUUGACAUACCCAAACAUUUUUUAAACUAUUGUGAUACAGCUUUUAUAUGAUAAGCCUCACUCUUUGAAGUGUACAGUUUGGUGGUUUUUAGUAUAUUCAGAGUUAUGCAGCCAUUACCACUACCUAAUUUCAGAACCUUUUCUUCUCCCCAAAAAGAAACCCCAUGCCCAUUAGCAGUCACUCUGUAUACUCGUCUCCCCCACCGUUGAUCCUGGCGACCUCUGAUCUAAUUUCUGUCUCUGUAGAUUUGCCUAUCCUGGACAUUUCAUAUAAAUAGAAUCAUACAAAAUGUGGCAUUUUGUGAUUGACUUUUCUUUGAAGUGAUUAUAAAGCAAAUGUCUGAAGAGGCCAAGCUUAGGAUAGUGUUUGCUGUACAGCUUUGACAACUGAAUUUUUUUCAGUUGAAAAUAUUACUGUGUCUGUAUAUGUGGCAUAUUAUCCUUAGAUGACCGUUACUUCAGUUAUUAGAAUUUUUUUCCCUAGUAUUCUUGAACUGUCUCAAUAUUCAGUAGGAACCCUUUGGAGACAAAGAGCAGUAAGAAUUUGGAACACAUAUUGACGAAAUGAAUGUCAUUUAAUACAGUAGUAGAGUCUACCACUUUUAGGUGUCAGUGCUGCUGGAAGUGUAUAUUAAGGAAAAGUUUACUUAUCUUACUUAUCUAGUGAAGGUACUAGAACUACUUCUGUCUUCUGUUUAGAUUUCAACAAACAUUUGCAUAGGUAUUACGCGGUUGUACAAAUGUACUGUCUUUUGACCUGAAAAUGCAAAAACUUCCUUUCUUCCCACUUUCUGAGACUCUGCAACCUUAAAGGAAGAGUGGUGUACUUUAAAGGAAAGGUGGUGAUGGUUGGAUAAUGGGUAACAAUGUCUACAAUAUACUUCCUUUUCCCAAAACAAGUUCCUGUCUACCAUCAGCAUCUCCAAAAUUUGAAGAUCAAGUGUGGUGUCAACUCAUUAACUAAAUGACUAGACUUCGAGCAGUUGUGGAACCAAAAUCUGAGUGAGUGCCUGGAUGUUCUAAUUCUGUUAAAUCAGUGAGUGCACAUUAUAUACAAUACUCUGUUAGCCCAGUGGCAGAUUUAAGGAGUGAGAGAGAGAUUUCAAAUGUUUCAGAAAUCAAAUACACAAAGAAUAAAAAUUUGUAAUCCCAUGAUUGUUUACCUGAGUGUAAUUUUUCGGAGAGUUUUUCUUUUAGAUUUUCUUUUCCUUCCAUUAAACUUUCACUUUGAAAGUUCCCAGGGUUUGGGCAAAGCAAGUGGGAAAGACACUUGCUUGGAUUCUCCAGGGCAAGGGAGUUAAAGAAGACUUCUUUCCCUCAUUUUAUUAUUGAAUAAUGUCAUGAAAACAAUUAUUAAGGUGAAUGGUCUACAGUAGAAGUUUUUAGAUGCUUUCUCUGCAAAAUAAUUUGGUUUAGUCAAUGCAAGGAUGCCUUUGGUUAGCUGGAAUAGAAGAUGCGCAGGCUAGAGUGGUCUUGGCAAGUCUUCUGGGGGGAAAUACAGCAUUUGGAAGGGUAGGAAGCAGAAGGAAUCUCAAGCAAGGGAAAGGUGUGGGCAGAGCCCCGGAGGACAGAACCGUUUGUGGUGGACUUGGUGUCCACAUAGAUCUAAUCAGUGGUCUUAGCUUUUGUGUUUUCAAAAUUACCACAGUUUUUGUUCUAAAACUAUCAUUCCCUUGAUUUUACUUUAGGCAUGCUAUCUGUGUAUUUUGAAAUUUAAAAUAACAUUAAAGGAGAAAUGAAAUUAUUUUGUUUGAGAAAGAAUUAAAAGGUUAAAACAUCUUGAUCUAAAUAAUUUUCUAAUGGGAGAUUUGGUACAUCCCCAGAAGUUGUCUUUGGUUCAGAGAACAGUCUUCAGACCUAGAAAGGACUUGAGGAGUCCCAGAGAGGAGCCGCAUAGUGUGAACCAUUCGAUUCUCACAACAGAAUGGAUAAGAACAAUUUCAACCAUGAAACCGUGCAGAUGUUCAUAUUUUGAAUAGGGUAUGUAUUGGGUGGAGGAGCAUUAUGUAUGGAACCUCUCACAAAACAGCUCCUACUUUCAAGAAUGAAAAAGGUAUCCCAGCAGUUUGGGAGGCUGAGGCAGGCGGAUCACGAGGUCAGGAGAUCGAGACCAUCCUGGCUAACACGGGCUGAAGCAGUGCCUACUCGAUAGAAUCAGUCAUCAUGCAAAUAAAAGCCACCUGAGUCAAAGGCAAAGCCAGAGUGCAGCUUGGAGCAAAGAAGCUCUUUCAAUCCUCUUAAUAACUAUCUGCAUUUUAUGGAUGAGGCAACUGAAGGGUAGCAGGAAGUGAGUCACCACCUAUACUAAGCAGUCUAGUCUUCUGUGUAUAAAUGAGCAAGGGUGGGGAGCCAGAUUGGAGAACCUUGUGUAAUGCUGAGAUGCUCCAAGAGAAUCCAAGAGGAUGUCAGGAUUAUGCAUGGAGGCCACUUGCCCAUAUAACUUGGAGGAUAUUGAAGAAGAAUCAUACUGACCUGGUUCUGCUACCUAACAGCUGAGUUACUUUGGUCAAGCUCUUGGACUUCUGAGGCUGUUUCCUAAUUUCAAAA